rnacentral:rRNA from 1 species
AUUGAACGCUGGCGGCAGGCUUAACACAUGCAAGUCGAGCGGGGUGAUGGUGGUUGCACUAUCACUUAGCGGCGGACGGGUGAGUAAUGCUUAGGAAUCUGCCUAUUAGUGGGGGACAACAUCUCGAAAGGGAUGCUAAUACUGCAUACGUCCUACGGGAGAAAGCAGGGGAUCACUUGUGACCUUGCGCUAAUAGAUGAGCCUAAGUCGGAUUAGCUAGUUGGUGGGGUAAAGGCCUACCAAGGCGACGAUCUGUAGCGGGUCUGAGAGGAUGAUCCGCCACACUGGGACUGAGACACGGCCCAGACUCCUACGGGAGGCAGCAGUGGGGAAUAUUGGACAAUGGGGGGAACCCUGAUCCAGCCAUGCCGCGUGUGUGAAGAAGGCCUUAUGGUUGUAAAGCACUUUAAGCGAGGAGGAGGCUCUUUUGGUUAAUACCCAAGAUGAGUGGACGUUACUCGCAGAAUAAGCACCGGCUAACUCUGUGCCAGCCGCCGCAGUAA